rnacentral:lncRNA from 1 species
UUUUUUUUGGUUUGUAAUUUUAUUUGAGCACAAGUCUGUAUUAAUUGAUAAGACUUGGAGACAUUUCAUUUGGAUUGCUGUGCCAGACCUACAAAUAUGUCAAUCGGGCUGAAUGUGCAUUCAGCAAUAGUAGUAGUAUAGAUGGACCAUAAGUGGCACGCAUCAGAAAGGGCCAAGAUGCUGGCUAAAAAAAGGAUGUUGUCGUAGCCAAAAAAAGUACAGCGGCCUGGCUUAUGUAUGUUAGUUGAUAUUAUUGAUCCAUAUACUCUAUAAGUGUUUAUAUGUCUGUUAGUUCUGUACAUUCUUGGUUGAUUGACUCGGUAUUUGAAUCUUGAUACAUCGCUUGUGUACAUAUCUAAAUGGGAGUACACAUUAUGCUGUGUGUGACAUUUGAGUUGGACAUGAAGUGUUCCAAAUAUUCGAAUUCACCUUAAACUGGAUUCUAGUUUCUGAAUUUGAGUAUCAACAUUUGUAAACCAUAUUCAUAUAUGACAGUGGAAUACAUCUUUGUCGUCCUUUUGAAGAUAUAUAAAAACACAUAGAAUGAUUUAUAAAGAUUCAUAUACGGAUACAAAAUGGAUUCGAAUUUAGUAGCCAGGGUAAACGUGGAUGCUUAUUGUCCCAAAAUUCGAAAGAAGCAGCAAAAUGUCCACUCCCACAUCAGCUGCCCGAAGCCAAGUGUUUGGGAGAUGGAAAUUACUGUCUACCCAUUAUACGAACAAUCCAUCAGCCCGAUUUCCACUGCUCUAAAUAGGGGUAGGUUAGUAACUUCAAUUAGACGUGACACGACCGCCUCUGAGCCCAUUCCGACACGAUGGGCGGCAAACAUGGGCGGAAAAACUCAUUUGAUUCAAGCUCGUCCGAAAGACCUCUGUUUCUCCCUCCAUUCCCCAUUCAUACACGGUGGGCGGCAAAACAAACUCGACUCAGCCGAAAUCGGUGUAGGCAAAUAUUUUCAAUAGGGGCAGGUUUGUAACUUCACUCAGACGUGACACAACCGCCCUACCUGUCAGCCCCGUCCAUACAUCAUGGGCGCCAACCAUGGGCGCCAACCACCCUCUCCUCGCCCGAAAUCACUUUGGGCAAAUAUUGGCGUGAUGCGAGAUUACCGUCCUAUCCCCAACCGACGAGACGUCCAAAUUUUAAACAGGGCUAAGUUCAUAACUUUCCCAUAUUUCAGACAGGCCCGUCCCAAAAACAUGGUUCCCCGUACCUCUCCAUCCGUUUUCCCAUUCAUACACCGUCCGUGCUAGAACACCCCAUCCCCACACCAUCCUUCGUCCACCACCCCAUCCAUUGCCGCCGUCCUCCACCACAUCCAUCGCCACCAUCCUCCACCAUGCUGGAGCGCCUACCAAGACUGCAUCGUCCACUGCUAGAGAUGGAUGUUUAUCAUCCAUGGCGACGAACCAAUAGCCUUGCAUCGCGUCCUCUCGCUUCAUCGGCGGCGGCGUCUUCUUUGCCGGGGCCGCUCACACGACCUUCUCUUCCACCGCAACGGGACUUAUCCCCCGAUGCACCCGUCUACCAUCGUAGAUCUGCUUCAACGCCACCGACAGUCAUCGCACCCCCGAUGCCUACACGGCGCCGCAAGAGAGGUGGUACUUCAUAUCUCCUCAACUUUUUGAUCUCAACCAGAAAAUAGAUCUUAACUUGGUUACUCUACUUUCUUUUCAGCUCUUAGAAUUCAGUUCUUAGUUCGAAGCAAACAAUGGAUGCUACAUAUCAUUUCUCUGGUUUGCAGCUUCAAAUCUGCCAUGGCACAGCCAUAAUACGGUUUAAUUGAUCAUGCUUAGGGUUUAAUUGAUGAUGUUGGUUCCUUGGUGGUUUCUUUAAUAGAAAUCGGAGGGGAAACCCUCUUUUGCUAAAAAAAAUAUGCUUAGAGUUUCCCCCUUUUAUGAUCACUAUACAAUCAGAAUACAUGCUUCGUGUCAUAAUAACACUGCUCCACCCAUCAAGCUAAACAAGCUUAGUUGUUCAAAUAUGAAUCUGAUAUUAUUAAAACAGAGUUGUUUAAUUGGUCAGCUAAAUGUUCCUAAAUUAGUUUCAAAAAUGCAUGUUCGCCGCUUGGGUGUCUAUCUCUAUAGGGUACCCAUGGUGGGCCGGCCCACCCUAGGAUUUUGGGUUGUCCCAGGCCCCGAUUCCCCUCUGUUCUGCUGCGCGCUUCCGAUCUCUACUCUCCCCCAGCCGCCCGCCUCGCCGGCGACUUGCCAUCCCCGGACGGCAUGACUCUAGGAGGAGACGCCGGACUAACAGGAGGCCAGGAGCCGCUCGCCCAACAGCGUCACCGCUGCCCGGGCGCGCCGCCGUGCCUACCUUCCCAGUCCGUUCAGGGCUCAGGCAUGCAGCACCCACCAAGCCAACCUGAUUUAUCCUGAGAUAUGUCCUCAACACUUAGCAGUCACUCCUCAUCACCCAUUUUUUAAUUGAUUCAUUACUCAUUAGGCAGGACUGUCAUUAGGGUUUGUUGUGUGCUCAGCGCUACCUACACUUAAUGGUUCAGAUGUAUUUCGGUAAUCUUUAGUACUUCUAAAGUUCACAGGGUUUUCAAAAUUCCGGCCCUCGGAACAUAAACUAGUCAUUUUGGAUUGUUGGUCAUAGUGACAUUGACCCAGAUUACUACUGCAGGCCAGGUUUGUUGACAAUUUUACUUGUCUUUCUUACUCAUUCGGUAUAAUAUCCAAUUAUUCACGUCGAUUAGUUGCAAACAAUAAGUGCUAGACAAACUUCUUCAUUCAGAUUUCGGAUGAUCUCUUACUGCAGUUACAAUUCUGCAUACUUGUCCUAGUAAGCUCACAAGUAAAUGAUUGAUUCACUACAUCUAUGCUUGCCUUGUCAUAUUUGUUGUCAAUAUUCUUUUAGGGUGGACCACCCUGUUUCUAAAUACUGGAACCGUAGACGUGAGUGAAUAGUAUUUCUCUAUGUGAUCUCUUCCAUCAUGUGUGGGUAACAAACACUGCAUUGUAUAGAAAGAAAGUGUCAUUUCCAGCUUUUACAUAGGUUUCUAUCUUUUACAUGGAAUACAAUUUGCCUACUUGCUUUGUGUCGCACUACCAACACUCCACCCUUGAAGCUAAACAUUACGCCACUCAUAAUUGCUUAGUUUAUUUGUUCAAAUAUGAAUUCCAUAUGAUUCUAAUGUUCCUACUUCAGUUUUGAAAUGUGUGCCUGCCUGUUAUAGAGACAUAAGGGGUUUGUAUUUCUGUGUGAGGCCUGGUCAGCACGGUUGGGGAGGUGAACUUUGCAUAUGCAGGGGUUUAUAGGGAGACACUCUCCGAGUUGAAUCCACAAUGCAUUCCAUAGAUAAUCAGACUACUUUUUAUGUUUUCAUGGAUCUCAAAUUCUGAACAGCAUCAUAAUGAUUAUGAGCUUGCGCGCAUGAAAAGAAUAAAGCAGAACAAUGCCAUGGCUGUCAAACUUGGCAUUAAGGGACUGAAAUCAAGUCUAGAUGCAAUGCAAUGCAAACGCUCUCCACCUACAGAUUCAUGCUCAGAAUAUGAUCCUAAUAGUGAUUCUGAGCUAGAGGGAGACCUAAGUCAAUGUAGCUCCCUAGUGGAGGAGUCGGAGGAAGAUGCCCUAUCUUAUUCACCCAUCAAGGUACUUGCUCUAACUUUCCAAGGUUACAUUGCUCGCACAUAUCUUUCAACUGAUGCUUUGCAUUGCUUCUACUUUGUUGAACUGCCAUUAGCUUAGUUUACACAUCGUGUAUGUGAAUACGCCCUGCCUAUCCAUUUUCAGUACAUAUUCCAUCUGUCAUCAUACCAUAUUUAUCCAUUCAAAUGUUGUUCUUGUGUAUCAUACGUUCAAAAGGAAGAGGGCGAUUGCUGAUUGUGGAGGAGCACAAGCAAAGUAUUUGGAAAAGGUAGUGGCAACUGAUAAAUCAAAUAGCCCAUUAGGUGUAGUUGCAAUAUCACCUGACCCACAAAAUACCCCAACUCUAGCAGACUCUAGCCCUACUACACUGGUCAUUUCUGACGCCCCAACUCAGCAGACCCCAACCGCAGUAAACAGUAUGAUUAUGCCAGUUGACAUAGCACCAGCUGUAUGACACAAAACCCCCAUUCCAGCAAAGAGUACACCAAAUCCAGUUGCCAAAUCCCUUUUUGAACCAGAGAGAGCCCCAAUUGCAGCAAAUAGGACCCUUGUUCCAUUUCUUCCCAGUUUAGAAGAUGAAGCUUAUGUUGUUGUCAGGAACUUUGUGCGCAUUUUUCCUUCAUGGAAAGAUUAUACCGCAGACACACAAAAAUUUCCAAUCUUCCUCUGCAACUUACGCGUAAGUAAUGUACUAAUAUUAUUCAUGGUCAUUACUGCAUAUGUUUCUGCUGACAGAAGACACAAGAAUUCAUUCUUUUAAAUAGGCGAGGAGCAAACUGGAUUGUGAUGACGAGCAAGGGUUGGUUGCACUUUUCAAGCACUCGUUGAUGAAGUAUCAUUCCUACCUGAGGCAAGCGCACUUCGAUGGCAAGCCUCUGAAUGAAAUUUCUGUAAAGUCUCCAGUGCUACAUUUAUCCGACGGUGACUGGAAUAAUCUUGUUACACAUUGGUCUCGGCUACAGCGUAAGGUAUUGUCUAUGAUAUAACAUCACAAUUUGAACUACAUUUCUGCAUUUGCCUUAAUGUCUCAUUUGUACGAAAACUGUUAGCAGAAGAACAUUUGUUCUCAAGGGACCACAGAAUCUCGCAACUAUACUGCACACUGCAUUGCUCUUGUGAGUACCUCUCUUGCCCUGUAUGACCAUACUUACUUUCAUAGUUGUUUGAUUAUGUAGCAUCACUGCACAUGUUAGCCUCGUAAUCGUCCAUUUGGUGGACAUUAUAAGAUCCGUAUGGACUCUUACAUAAAUUUAGAAUCAACCCAAUGCUUUUGAAGAGGUUUAGCUCUGCAUUCCUCUUGUAAGGACUGAAUGUGGUCUAUCACUGUACUUACAGUAACAGCUACUCCCUCUAUCCCAUAAUAUAAGAAUGUUUUGUACAGUACACCAGUGUUCAAAACACUCUUGUAUUAUGGGAAGAGGGAUUGGUUCAUUUUGUAGCAUUCUGCAUCUUAUCUCCCUCGCCCACCAUUUACUAAAAAAGAUCAGAUCUAUAUUUAAUGUUACCAACAGGUAGAAUACACAGACAAUGCCAGUGCAAAAGUGUAGCCCAUUUCUCUUGUCAGUACAUUUUGUCCUGUAACGCUUGUACUUCCAGGGAUUGGUAGUUGAUUAUGUAGCAUCAAUCUGCAUCUUAUCUUCAUUAUCCUCUAUCCCUUCCAGUAUUAUCAUAUCUAUAAUUACUCUCUACAAAAUGUAGAGUAUAGGCAAUGCUUAUGAAGAAGAUUAUGUGCUGAAAUUCUUGAGUUAUCCUUCCCUUGACAUGGAGAAGGGCAUUAUAAAGCCGAUGUUAACUGUUAAUGUAAGUCAGUACUUCUAAAGCCUUUAUCCUCAACUGUUGUUUAAUUUGCUCAUACUCCCUAUCGUUUACUGCUAUUUAGCUUGCUGUUUCUACCAAAAUGCAUGUUCGUAAGAACCAUAAGUUCUAAGUUUUACUUGUAAAACCAAAUUCCUUAUUCAUACCACGCACAUUACUUAAUACUCCCUAUAUGUAUGCUUGUUUUGUGGAUCUAUAAUCCAGUGUGUGGUGAAGCAGCCCACGUUUGCACCUUGUCAUCUCAUGUUUUAUCUUACUGGUGUGGCUGAUGAUAUGAACAACAUGCCAUGCACAUUAUCCAAAAUAGAUACAAUGAUUUUCUUUGCCCUUCAUCUAUGCUUGUUAUGUUGACAUGGUAAUCCAAUAGUGUGGUGAAGCUCCCCACAUUAUGAACAAUGCCAAAUUAUGCUAUUGAUAUUUUUAACUUACUCUUUAUUUUCUAAUUUGAAAUUGGAUAGAAUUGACAGAACAAUUAUCAUCUUUGUUUAUACACGUGCAAAACCUGUCAUCUCUCUGCUUUGUUUCAGGGUGAUAUGCCUGAUGGCAUGCACAAGUCUGCUGAAGGCUGUGAGACAAACCCAACAUAUAUUGCAGCAAAGAAGGAAAAACAUCUUGAAGAUAGCGAGACAACCCCAAAGUCUUGUCUUGAUGUAGUGUUCAAGUUACUUGAGACUAACAGUCAGAGAAGCUCACAGAAUUCGUUGUCUGAAUCAGUUCGACUUCUUCAGUCCCAAGUUCUAGCAGAAAGGCAUUCUGCAACUCAACUUCGACUUGAAGUCCUAUCUCUAAGAAAGAUUACUGAGAACACCAAUGAGAACCUCAUCGCUAAACAGCUACACCUGGAAGCUAUGACCGACAUGCUAGGCUGGUCUCACAGCCUUGCUCAGCAGCUUGCGCAGCAGUUCCCCCGCAAGGCUAACCUUUCUUGAACUGUCUUGGAAGUGGUCUUGGUUUAGUAUUAUUUUGUUACACUGCAAUGAUGCCCAGCUUUUAUAAUCUGCUUCUUCGUUCCGCUUUAUGAUCACUGGUGGCGAACUUCGAUGCCCAGUGGAUGUAAUAUACCUUAAAUCCUUUAUUGUAUAGUGUAGGUUUAUUCUUAGUUACUAUGCCGUAAUUUCUUUAUUGUAUAGAGUAGGUUUUUUCUUAAUUCCUACUAGUUACUGCCAUCAUUCGCUAUCUAAAAAAAUCAGAUGUAGUCGACCGGACCGAAACAUUCGACUCUAAUGGGCCAGGUUUUUAGCGGGCCACAAUUGGGCCGGCCUGCGUCUUUCUUGGGCCCGAAUGAUUGGGGCCUUCACAAAUUGCGCCAGGCCCAAACUUACACCGGCCUAUAUUUUAGUUGGGCCUUUUGUCGACCCAGCGCUUAGUUUGGCCCAGGUAGCGUUGGGUCAUUAACAGGCUGAAUAUUGUACUGGCCUGUUAUGGCCGAGAUGAAACCAUGGGCCUUUAGCAGGCCAAAAUGCAUGUUGGGCCUCAAUUUUCACUAGUCGUCGACGGGCCUUCAGCAGGCCGAAAUGUAGACUGGGCCGUUUUGGGCCCAGUUAGCUCACGGGCCGUUACUAGGCCAAAACAUAUCUCGGGCCUUAGUUGGCCCACUGAUAUCAUGAGCCUUUAAGAGGCCGAAAGCUUAGCAUAGGCAUCAACGUGCCGAAUUACGCGACAUGCCUUUAACAAGCCCAAAGUCACGUUGGGCUUAACUGUUGCCACCUUUAGCACGGGCCAUUAGUGGGCCCUGAUGUCCCAUCGGACCAUAUAUGGCCCAUGGGCAGCAUGGGCCAUUCCCAGGCCGAAAGUCACACCGGGCUGAAAUGGGCCCAUGUCUACAUCAGGCCUCUAAUAGGUCAAAAGUCACUGGGCUGUAGUUGGGCCCAAAUAUUUGGCGAACAAUUAACGGGCCCGAUCUGGCUUCGGGCCGCAAAUGGGCCUAAAUUUUGGGAGAACAAUUAACGGGCCAGAUCUGGCUUCGGGCCGUAAAUGGGCCCAAAUAUUGGGUGAACAAUUAACGGGCCAGAUCUGGCUUCGGGCCGUAAAUGGGCCUUUAUUAAGCAGGUCGUUAUUGGGCUGGCCCACUAGUACCUAAUUAAGCUCUACGGGCCUUUGACUGGGACGGCCUUUUUAACCUAUAUGGGCCUCUGUUGGGCCCAGCCACGUGUUGACGUAUCAUAGGCAUGUCUCCUCCAAUGGACGGGCGACAUCUGGCCCACUGACGAGCUGACAGGUGUUCCCUUCGGCCAAUCAGAAUUUUACACGUGGAAAUUUCCCAUUGGUCAGGGCUGUUAACGGGUUAUCGGAUCCAAAAUCCGACCUGAUAGCUUAACGGCGUUCCGUUACGGUGGAUGCCACGUGUCGGUCACCCUUGACGAAAGCACUUCUGUGAUGCGUGAUUUAUCGUCAUGGAAGUGGACACUUCCGUGAUGAUAAUUUUGGUAAUGUCAUGGUACACUUCUAUGACAGCACAGGUAUGACUAUCUUGAUUCUGUCAUAAAAUCAUCAUGGAUGUACAUGCAUGACAAAAAACGCGACCUACUGUGACAAACAUGUAUCAUCACAGAAGUGUAUCUCUUUGUAGUGAGAGUACCUUUAUAAUUGAUGUCUACUACACAACCUUCUUCUUGUAGACAUUGUUGGGCCUCCAAGUGCAGAGGUUUGUAGGACAUUAGCAAAUUUCCCUCAAGUGGAUGACCUAAGGUUUAUCAAUCCGUAGGAGGCGUAGGAUGAAGAUGGUCUCUCUCAAGCAACCCUGCAACCAAAUAACAAAGAGUCUCUUGUGUCCCCAACACACCCAAUACAAUGGUAAAUUGUAUAGGUGCACUACUUCAGCGAAGAGAUGGUGAUACAAGUGGUAUAUGGAUGGUAGAUAAAGGUUUUUGUAAUCUGAAAAUAUAAAAACAGCAAGGUAACUAAUGAUAAAAGUGAGCGUAAACGGUAUUGCAAUGCGUUGAAACAAGGCCUAGGGUUCAUACUUUCACUAGUGCAAGUUCCCUCAACAAUAAUAACAUAAUUGGAUCAUAUAACUAUCCCUCAACAUGCAACAAAGAGUCACUCCAAAGUCACUAAUAGCGGAGAACAAAUGAAGAGAUUAUGGUAGGGUACGAAACCACCUCAAAGUUAUUCUUUCCAAUCAAUCCGUUGGGCUAUUCCUAUAAGUGUCACAAACAGCCCUAGAGUUCGUACUAGAAUAACACCUUAAGACACAAAUCAACCAAAACCCUAAUGUCACCUAGAUACUCCAAUGUCACCACAAGUAUCUGUGGGUAUGAUUAUACGAUAUGCAUCACACAAUCUCAGAUUCAUCUAUUCAAACCAACACAAAGUACUUCAAAGAGUGCCCCAAAGUUUCUACCGGAGAGUCAAGGCGAAAACGUGUGCCAAUCCCUAUGCAUAGGUUCAUGGGCGGAACCCGCAAGUUGAUCACCAAAACAUACAUCAAGUGGAUCAAUAGAAUACCCCAUUGUCACCACGGGUAUCCCACCCAAGACAUACAUCAAGUGUUCUCAAAUCCUUAAAGACUCAAUCCGAUAAGAUAACUUCAAAGGGAAAACUCAAUCCAUUACAAGAGAGUAGAGGGGGAGAAACAUCAUAGGAUCCAAAUAUAAUAGCAAAGCUCGCGAUACAUCAAGAUCAUACCACCUCAAGAACACGAGAGAGAGAGAGAUCAAACACAUAGCUACUAGUACAUACCCUCAGCCCCGAGGGAGAACUACCCCCUCCUCGUCAUGGAGAGAACCGGGAUGAUGAAGAUGGACAUCGGAGAGGGAUUCCCCCCUCUGGCAGGGUGCCGGAGCGGGUCUAGAUUGGCUUUCGGUGGCUACGGAGGCUUCUGGCGGCGGAACUCCCGAUCUAUUGUGCUCCCCAAAGUUUUUAGGGUACAUGGGUAUAUAUAGGAGGAAGAAGUACAUCAGGGGAGCCACAAGGGGCCCACGAGGGUGGAGGGCGCGCCUAGGGGGGUGGGCGCGCCCCCUGCCUCGUGCCUUCCUCGUUGCUUCCCUUACGUACACCCCAAGUCUUCUGGAUUGCUUCCGUUCCAAAAAUAAGUUCCAUGAAGUUUCAGGUCAGUUGGACUCCGUUUGAUUUUCCUUUUCUGUGAUACUCUAAAACAAGGAAAAAACAGAAUCUAGCACUGGGCUCUAGGUUAAUAGGUUAGUCCCAAAAAUAAUAUAAAAGUGCAUAAUAAAGCCCAUAAACAUCCAAAAUAGAUAAUAUAAUAGCAUGGAACAAUAAAAAAUUAUAGAUACGUUGGAGACGUAUCAGCAUCCCCAAGCUUAAUUCCUGCUCGUCCUCGAGUAGGUAAAUGAUAAAAACAGAAUUUUUGAUGUGGAAUGCUACCUAACAUAUUCAUCAUGUAUUUCUCUUUAUUGUAGUAAGAAUAUUCAGAUCCAUAAGAUUCAAUACAAAAGUUUAAUAUUGACAUAAAAACAAUAAUACUUCAAGCAUACUAACUAAGCAAUCAUGUCUUCUCAAAAUAACAUGGCUAAAGAAAGUUCAUCCCUACAAAAUCAUAUAGUUUGGUCAUGCUCCAUUUUCAUCACACAAGAAUGAUCUCAUCAUGCACAACCCCGAUGACAAGCCAAGCAAUUGUUUCAUACUUUAGUAAUCUCAAACCUUUUUAAACUUUCACGCAAUACAUGAGCGUGAGCCAUGGAUAUAGCACUAUGUGUGGAAUGGAAUAUAAUGAGGGGGUUAUGUGGAGAAGACAAAAAGGAGAAAGUCUCACAUCGGCGCGACUAAUCAAUGGGCUAGGGAGAUGCCCAUCAAUUGAUGUCAAUGCAGGAGUAGGGAUUUCCAUUCAACGGAUGCACUAGAGCUAUAAAUGCAUGAAAGCUCAACAAAAGAAACCAAGUGGGUGUGCAUCCAACUUGCUUGCUCACAAAGACCUAGGGCACUUGAGGAGGCCCAUUGUUGGAAUAUACAAGCCAAGUUCUAUAAUGAAAACUUCCCACUAGUAUAUGAAAGUGACAAAACAAGAGACUCUCUAUCAUGAAGAUCAUGGUGCUACUUUGAAGCACAAGUGUGAAAAAAAAGGAUAGUAGCAUUGUCCCUUUUAUUUUAUUUAUUUGGCCUUUCUUUUUUUAUUUGGCCUUCCUUUUUUUAUUUGGACUUUCUUUUUUUUCUCUUUUUUUUGGGACAAUGCUCUAUUAAUGAUGUUCAUCACACUUCUAUUUAUUUACAACUCAAAGAUUACAAUUCGAUACUAGAACAAAGUAUGACACUAUAUGAAUGCCUCCGGCGGUGAACCGGGAUGGGCAAUGAAUCAAGAGUGACAUGUAUGUUAAAUUAUGCAUGGUGGCUUUGCCGCAAAUACGAUGUCAACUACAUGAUCAUGCAAAGCAAUAUGACAAUGAUGAUGCGUGUCAUAAUAAACGGAACGGUGGAAAGUUGCAUGGCUCGGAAUGGCUAUAGAAAUGCCAUAAUAGGUAGGUAUGGUGGCUGUUUUUAGGAAGAUAUAAGGAGGUUUAUGUGUGAUAGAGCGUAUCAUAUCACGGGGUUUGGAUGCACCGGUGAAGUUUGCACCAACUCUCAAUGUGAGAAAGGGCAAUGCACGGUACCGAAGAGGCUAGCAAUGAUGGAAGGGUGAGAGUGCGUAUAAUCCAUGGACUCAACAUUAGUCAUAAAGAACUCACAUAAUUAUUGCAAAAAUCUACAAGUCAUCAAAAACCAAGCACUAUGCACAUGCUCCUAGGGGGAUAGAUUGGUAGGAAAAGACCAUCGCUCGUCCCCGACCGCCACUCAUAAGGAGGACAAUCAAAUAACACCUCAUGUUUCAAAUUUGUUACACAACGUUUACCAUACGUGCAUGCUACAGGACUUGCAAAUUUCAACACAAGUAUUCCUCAAAUUCACAACUACCCAACUAGCACAACUUUGAUAUCACUAUCUCCAUAUCUCAAAACAAUCAUCAAGUAUCAAACUUCUCUUAGUAUUCAAUGCACUUAUAUGAAAGUUUUUAUUAUAUCCCUCUUGGAUGCCCAUCAUAUUAGGACUAGUUUCAUAACCAAAGCAAACUACCAUGCUGUUCUAAAGACUCCCAAAAUAAUAUAAGUGAAGCAUGAGAGAUCAAUUAUUUCUUCAAAAUAAAACCACCACCGUGCUCUAAAAAGAUAUAAGUGAAGAACUAGAGCAAAUGACAAACUACUCUGGAAGAUAUAAGUGAAGGUCAAUGAGUAGUCGAAUAAUUAUGCAACUAUGUGAAGACUCUCUAACAUUUAAUAAUUUCAGAUCUUGGUAUUUUAUUCAAACAGCAAGCAAAACAAAAUAAAAUAAAAUGACGCUCCAAGCAAAACACAUAUCAUGUGGCGAAUAAAAAUAUAGCUCCAAGUAAAGUUACCGAUGAACAAAGACGAAAGAGGGGAUGCCUUCUGGGGAAUCCCCAAGCAUAGGCUCUUGGUUGUCCUUGAAUAUUAACUUGGGGUGCCUUGGGAAUCCCCAAGCUUAGGCUCUUGCCACUCCUUAUUCCAUAGUCCAUCGAAUCUUUACCCAAAACUUGAAAACUUCACAACACAAAACUUAACAGAAAACUCGUAAGCUCCGUUAGUAUAAGAAAAUAAAUAAUCACUUAGGUACUGUUGUGAACUCAUUCUAAAUUCAUAUUGGUGUAAUAUCUACUGUAUUCCAACUUAUCUAUGGUUCACACCCUCUGAUACUACUCAUAGAUUCAUCAAAAUAAGCAAACAACACAUCGAAAACAGAAUCUGUCAAAAACACAAUAGUCUAUAGUAAUCUGGAUCAAACGUAUACUUCUGGAACUCAUAAAAUUCUCAAAUAAAUUUCUAGACGUGAGUAAUUUAUCUAUUAAUCAUCUGAAAAAUAAUUAACUAAAUAGAACUCUCCAAUAAAAAAUGGCAGCAAUUCUCGAGCGCUAAAGUUUCUGUUUUUUACAGCAUGAUCAACAAGACUUUCCCCAAGUCUUCCCAAAGAUUCUACUUGGCACAAACACUAAUUAAAAGCAUAGAAACUCAAUCAUAACAGAGGCUAGAUAAAUUAUUUAUUACUAAACAGGAGCAAAAAGCAAGGAACAAAAAUAAAGUUGGGUUGCCUCCCAACAAGCGCUAUCGUUUAACGCCCCUAGCUAGGCAUGAUGAUUUCAAUGAUGCUCACAUAAAAGAUAAGAAUUGAAACAUAAAGAGAGCAUCAUGAAGAAUAUUACUAGCACAUUUAAGUCUAACCCACUUCCUAUGCAUAGGGAUUUUGUGAUCAAACAACUUAUGGAAACAAUAAUCAACUAGCAUAGGAGGGGAAAACAAGCAUAACUUCAAAACUUUAAGCACGUAGAGAGGAAACUUGAUAUUAUUGCAAUUCUUACAAGCAUAUGUUCCUCCCUCAUAAUAAUUUUCAGUAGCAUCAUGAAUGAGUUCAACAAUAUAACUAUCACAUAAAGCAUUCUUUUCAUGAUCUACAAGCAUAGAAUUUUAUUACUCUCCACACAAGCAAAAUUCUUCUCAUUCGGAAUAGUGGAAGUAUCAUAAGAAACUCGAAUACUAUAAAUUGUUUCCACAUUAAAAGAGUAAUGUUCAGAAAAAGGGUAAUCAUAAUCAUGACAAGUUUUAUAAAUAUAUUCAUCACUACUUUUUAUAGCAUAUGUAUCAUCACAAUAAUUAUCAUAAGUAGCAACUUUGUUCUAAUCAUAAUCGAUUGAAACCUCUUCCAAGAUAGUGGAAUCAUCACUAAAUAAAUCAUGACCUCUCCAAAUCCACUUUCAUAAUUAUCAUAAUAAGAUUCAACAUCUUCCAAAAUAGUGGGAUCAUUACUUCCUAAAGUUGACACUCUUCCAAACCCACUUUCAUCAAUAUAAUCAUCAUAAGUAGGAGGCAUGCUAUCAUCAUUAUAAAUUUGCAUAUCAAAACUUAGGAGACUAAAAAUAUCAUCUUCAUUAAACAUAGCUUCCCCAAGCUUGGGACAAACAUUAAUUGCAGCAAAUAUAUUCUCAAAAACAUCAUCUUCAUCAAACAUAGCAUCCCCAAGCCUGGGCCUUUUCAUAUCAUAAGCAUAAUCACUCUCAUCAUUAAUAGUAUGGAUAGCACCAAUAGUAUAGCAAUUAUCAUAUUCUUCCAAGCAAGUGCCAAACAUUAUAAUGCAUUCUUCUUCUAACACUAUGGAACAAUUUUCCUUUCCAUCAUACUCACGAAAGAUAUUAAAAAGAUGAAGCGUAUGAGGCAAACUCAAUUCCAUAUUUUUUUUGUAGUUUUCUUUUAUAAACUAAACUAGUGCUAAAACAAGAAACAAAAAGAUUCGAUUGCAAGAUCUAAAGAUAUACCUUCAAGCACUCACCUCCCCGGCAACGGCGCCAGAAAAGAGCUUGACGUCUACUACACAACCUUCUUCUUGUAGACAUUGUUGGGCCUCCAAGUGCAGAGGUUUGUAGGACAGUAGCAAAUUUCCCUCAAGUGGAUGACCUAAGAUUUAUCAAUCCGUAGGAGGUGUAGGAUGAAGAUGGUCUCUCUCAAGCAACCCUGCAACCAAAUAACAAAGAGUCUCUUGUGUCCCCAACACACCCAAUACAAUGGUAAAUUGUAUAGGUGCACUACUUCGGUGAAGAGAUGGUGAUACAAGUGGUAUAUGGAUGGUAGAUAAAGGUUUUUGUAAUCUGAAAAUAUAAAAACAGCAAGGUAACUAAUGAUAAAAGUGAGCGUAAACAGUAUUGCAAUGCGUUGAAACAAGGCCUAGGGUUCAUACUUUCACUAGUGCAAGUUCCCUCAACAAUAAUAACAUAAUUGGAUCAUAUAACUAUCCCUCAACAUGCAACAAAGAGUCACUCCAAAGUCACUAAUAGCGGAGAACAAACGAAGAGAUUACGUUAGAGUACGAAACCACCUCAAAGUUAUUCUUUCCAAUCAAUCCGUUGGGCUAUUCCUAUAAGUGCCACAAACAGCCCUAGAGUUCGUACUAGAAUAACACCUUAAGACACAAAUCAACCAAAACCCUAAUGUCACCUUGAUACUCCAAUGUCACCUCAAGUAUCUGUGGGUAUGAUUAUACGAUAUGCAUCACACAAUCUCAGAUUCAUCUAUUCAAACCAACACAAAGUACUUCAAAGAGUGCCCCAAAGUUUCUACCGGAGAGUCAAGACGAAAAUGUGUGCCAACCCCUAUGCAUAGGUUCAUGGGAGGAACCCGCAAGUUGAUCACCAAAACAUACAUCAAGUGGAUCAAUAGAAUACCCCAUUGUCACCACGGGUAUCCCACGCAAGACAUACAUCAAGUGUUCUCAAAUCCUUAAAGACUCAAUCCGAUAAGAUAACUUCAAAGGGAAAACUCAAUCCAUUACAAGAGAGUAGAGGGGGAGAAACAUCAUAGGAUCCAAAUAUAAUAGCAAAGCUCGCGAUACAUCAAGAUCGUACCACCUCAAGAACACGAGAGAGAGAGAGAGAGAGAUCAAACACAUAGCUACUGGUACAUACCCUCAUCCCCGAGGGAGAACUACUCCCUCCUCGUCAUGGAGAGCACCGGGAUGAUGAAGAUGGCCACCGGAGAUGGAUUCUCCCCUCCGGCAGGGUGCCGGAACGGGUGUAGAUUGGCUUUCGGUGGCUACGGAGGCUUCUGGCGGUGGAACUCUCGAUCUAUUGUGCUCCCCAAAGUUUUUAGGGUAUAUGGGUAUAUAUAGGAGGAAGAAGUACGUCAGGGGAGCCACGAGGGGCCCACGAGGGUGGAGAGCGCGCCAAGGGGGUGGGCGCGCCCCCCUGCCUCGUGCCUUCCUCGUUGCUUCCCUUACGUACACCCCAAGUCUUCUGGAUUGCUUCCGUUCCAAAAAUAAGUUCCGUGAAGUUUCAGGUCAAUUGGACUCCGUUUGAUUUUCUUUUUUUGCGAUACUCUAAAACAAGGAAAAAACAGAAACUGGCACUGGGCUCUGGGUUAAUAGGUUAGUCCCAAAAAUAAUAUAAAAGUGCAUAAUAAAGCCCAUAAACAUCCAAAACAGAUAAUAUAAUAGCAUGGAACAAUCAAAAAUUAUAGAUACGUUGGAGACGUAUCAAUAAUCACCUAGUUAUGUUGUGACAUUUGGUAGCACACAAAGUGUUCCUCCGGUACUCAGGAGUUGCAUAAUCUCAUAGUCAUAGGAACAUGUAUAAGUCAUGAAGAAAGCAAUAGCAACAAACUAAACGAUCAUCCUGCUAAGCUAACGGAUGGGUCAAAUCAAUCACAUCACUCUCUAAUGAUGUGAUCCCGUUAAUCAAAUGACAACUCAUGUCUAUGGCUAGGAAACUUAACCAUCUUUGAUUCAAUGAGCUAGUCAAGUAGAGGCAUACUAGUGACACUCUUUCGUCUAUGUAUUCACACAUGUACUAAGUUUCCGGUUAAUGCAAUUCUAGCAUGAAUAAUAAACAUUUAUCAUGAUAUAAGGAAAUAAAUAAUAACUUUAUUAUUGCCUCUAGGGCAUAUUUCCUUCAGCAGCCACCAGGUCAAGGAAGAAGAAAACCUCAGAUUCUGAAGAUGAGGAAUAUGUGGCUGUUGAGGAGGAAGUCACCUCCAAGAAGAAGGUGCUGAAGAAAGAAUAUGGGUCAACUUCCACAACUAAGCUUGGCUUGCACAAGAAGGCCCCUGCCAAGAGGGUGCCAACCUUAAAGGUUAGAGCCUCAACUGCUGAAACCUCCAAGCCAGCUGAAGAGGCUGUUGGAGAAGGAAAGAAGAGGAAGGAAAGGUUCAAGAAGACCACUGCUAGAGUGCUUGGAAGAUCCUCCAUUAUGAGAGAUUCAGAAGAAGAGGAAGAGGAAGAGGAUGAUGCACCAGCUCCCAAAGCUCAGAAGCUUAUGGGAGAUGUAAUUAAGUCAGGGGCUGCUCCAUCUAAGCCCAAAUUUUCUCCCAACGCUGCUGCUCAAAAGCCUUAUGCACCCAAGAGGAAUACCAGAAGCAUACCUGCUGAGGAGAAGAACAAGGCCCCAGUGCCUGAAGCUGAAGAAGAGGAAGAUGAUUCACUUGUUUUGAGGAAGUUGAAGCCCAAAAUUCCUGACCAUAAUGAUGCUCAUCCAGUCGCUGAGGACAUGCACAUCAGAAAGGAUGCAAGACUGAGAUUGUGGAGACAGUCUGAUCCCUAUGCUGUUAGGAGGAGGACUGCAGUUGACUACAGGUUUCAUACAAAGGAACAACAAGACUUCUAUGAGACAAUUUUGCUUGACAAGAAGCCCAUUGUAUGUGACAUGAAAUGGAUUGAUUGGGAAUAUAUCAAGGAGAAUGAAGAUCACUUCCCAGGAGUAUAUGAUAGUUUCAAGGCAUGUGGAGUAGAUGAAUUUGUUGGAUAUAAGCUCACCAAAUGGAAUGAUGAGCUGAUUAUGAAUUUUUACUCCACUGCCCACUUCUAUCCAGAUGGAAGGGUGGUAUGGAUGUCUGAGGGUACAAGGUACCAGUCCACUGUUGAAGAAUGGGCCAAGAUAAUCAAUGGCCCAAAGGAACAUGAGGAUGACUUGGAUGUGUAUGCCAAGAAGAAGAAAGAUCACAACUCCAUGGCAAACAUGUACAAAGAGAUCCCAGAUAAAGCUUUGGAGACACAUAAGCUUGGAUCUGUACACUUCUUGUUGUCUGGUCUGCCUACUAUCAACUGGAUCUUAAGGCACACCCUGCUACCCAAGUCAGGAGAUCACAAGAUGAUCAGAGGACACUCCAUCAACAUGCUGCAAAUCUUUGAUGUCCCUCAGAAGUUUAAGGUUAUGAGUUUGAUUGUAGAAACUAUCAAGAGGACAGUUGUUGAUCAAAAGAGAAGUUGUGGGUAUGCUCCACAUAUUCAGGAGCUCAUCAAUUCUAAGAUGGGCACAGGAAUUUAUUUGUUGGACAAGGAGCAUCUACCCUUAUAUCCUGAAUUUGAAGACAACACUGUUGUGAUGAAUGAGGAGGAACCAUCAUCAGCUCAAGCACACAAGAAGAGAGUCAAAGCAAAGGCUGAGAAAGCUGCAAGGAUGCCAAGUGCAGAAGAGGCAUCUCAAGUUUUCCUAAAGAGCAAGCAAGAUCAAUUAGGCUAUCUGAUUGAAGAAACACUGAGGAUUGAGAAGGGCUUGGACACUCCGACUCAGAAUCAGGAGAGCCUGGAGAGGAUUGUUGAGACAAAAUUCUAUAAUCUUGACCUCAAGGUAACUGAGAUUCAGACUGCAGUUGAGCAGCUUCAGGAGGAAGCAGAAGAGAGGAGAGGGAAGGCAACUACAGAUGCUUUUCAGCGUGUGCCACGAGGUCCGAGGUCUGCUGCAGUGCCAGUUUUAGAUGCUAGAGCUACAACAUCAGCACCAGCAGCUACAGCUCCAGUGCCACCUCCAGCACCCACUCCACCAGCUCCAACUACAUCGACAGAUGCCUUCGUCCUUGGAGUUCUCUCUACGCCACCUCCCGAAGACCAAGCCUGAGAGACGCAUAGCACUAUGCAUUUUCAAACUUUUUGGUAACUUGUUGCCAAAGGGGGAGAAAUAUGUAUAGAUCAUAGGCUUCGAGAGAGAGUGUCUUGGUUUUUAUCUCUCUUGCUUUUGGUUGACUUUUUAUUGUGUGAGAUACCUUAUGUUCUUGUGAGAUACUUAUUUUAUCAUGUGGUUGAUCAUUUGCUACCUUAAUGCUUGUUUGGAUGAUACUAUUUUUUAUAUCUUAUAUAUGAUCAUUCACUUGCUUGGUGAUGAGUGCAUGCUUUUGAUUUCUAUCAUUUUGAGCGCUCCACCAAGAUGUAUGUGAAAUCAAAGAGUAACCCAUGAUCCUAAUCGAUUCUUCAUUUGCAUUCAAAAGCAAAUCUUAAAUAAUGCACAAAUUUAGGGGGAGCUCUUGCUUAUCACAUAUUUCUCAAAGCGAUGAUGUUUUUCAAUCUUAUGAUCAUUUGUCGAAGCUUUGAUCUAUAUGUUGUCAUCAAUUACCAAAAGGGGGGAGAUUGAAAGUGCAACUAUCCCUGGAUGGUUUUGGUAAUUCCUAACAACAUAUAGCUCAUUGAGCUAAUGCUAUUUUAAGAUAAAUAUUUCAGGAAACCUCAAUGAUUGGCAUGGCAUGGAUUAGAAAGUGGACCCCUCAAGAUGCUAAGGACAAAAGAUUGGCUCAAGCUCAAAGCACAAGACUCUACAUUUUACUUUUAGUGAUCCAAGAUCACAUUGAGUCCAUAGGAAAAGCCAAUACUAUUAAAAGAGGGUGAGGUGCUUCUUAAUGAGUUACUUGCUCAAAAUGCUUAGUGAUAUGCUCAAAAAACCCUCAACUACUUUCGCAUAUCCACAUAUGUCCCAAACCAAAAGUCAAACUCGGCCCCAUCGAAAUAUUCUAUCUGGCGCCACCGAGUUCACUUGACAUAGCCACUGCCACAAACCCUAGUCACUUCGGUCUCACCGAUAGGGAUCUCGGUCUCACCGAGAUGGGGUUGCAAACUCUUUGUUUCCCUUCGUCACGUUUCGGUCCAACCGAGAUGAGCGAUCGGUCCCACCGAGAUUGCAAUGCAAACUCUCUGUUUCCCCUUCGUAACAUUUCGGUCUAACCGAGAUGAACGAAUCGGUCCCACCGAGUUUGCCUGACCAACUCUCUGUUUGUCUAUUACCAAAAUCGGUCCCACCGAGUUUGUGUAAUCCGUCUCACCGAGAUUACGUUAUACCUUAACCCUAAUGGAAUCGGUCCCACCGACUUGACAUGUCGGUCCCACCGAAAAUCCUAACAUUCACAUUUUGAACUAAUCGGUCUGACCGAGUUUUAUAAUUCGGUCCCACCAAGUUUGGUGAUUUGUGUGUAACGGUUAGAUUUUGUGUGGAGGCUAUAUAUACCCCUUCACCCACUCUUCAUUCGUGGAGAGAGCCGUCAGAAUAUGCCUACACUUCCAACAUACAUUUUCUGAGAGAGAACCACCUACACUUGUGUUGAGGUCAAGAUAUUCCAUUCCAACCACAUAAAUCUUGAUCUCUAGCCUUCCCCAAGUUGCUUUCCACUCAGAUCAUCUUUCUACCAAAUCCAAUCCUAUGAGAGAGAGUUGAGUGUUGGGGAGCCUACCAUUUGAAGCACAAGAGCAAGGAGUUCAUCAUCAACACACCAUCUAUUACCUUUUGGAGAGUGGUGUCUCCUAGAUUGGUUAGGUGUCACUUGGGAGCCUCCGUCAAGAUUGUGGAGUUGAACCAAGGAGUUUGUACGGGCAAGGAGAUCGCCUACUUCGUGAAGAUCUACCCUAGUGAGACAAGUCCUUCGUGGGUGAUGGCCAUGGUGGGAUAGACAAGGUUGCUUGUUCAUGGCCCCUUCAUGGGUGAAGCCCUCCAUGGACUCGCACAACCGUUACCCUUCGUGGGUUGAAGUCUCCAUCAACGUGGAUGUACGAUAGCACCACCUAUCGGAACCACGCCAAAAAUCUCCGUGUCUACAUUGCGUUUGCUCCCUCCAAACUCCUCCCUUUACCUUCAUAUGCAAUUGUUUUACAUUCCGAUGCUAUACUCUUAGAAUUGUAUGUGUAGGUUGAUUACUUGAUUUGUGCUAAGUUGCUAAAAUCUGCCAAGACUUAAAAUUGGGAAAAUGCUAGAUUUUUAUUUGGUCAAGUAGUCUAAUCACCCCCCUCUAGACAUACUUUUGAUCCUACAUGGAGCCCUCCGUGGACUCGUGCAACCGUUAUCCUUCGUGGGUUGAAGUCUCCAUCAACGUGGAUGUACGAUAGCACCACCUAUUAGAACCACGCCAAAAAUCUCCAUGUCUCCAAUUGCGUUUGCAUACUCCAAUCCCAUCCCUUUACAUUCUCGCAAAUUGCAUGCUUUACUUUCCGCUCCUCAUAUACUCUUGCCAUGCUUGCUUGAAAUGUAUUGUGAAUGUUUAAACUUGUGCUAAAACUCUACCUUAACUUGAAGAAACUAAAAACUGCUACUUUUCUUUGUUGAGAGUCUAAUCACCCCCACUCUAGACACCUCUUCUUGAUCCUUUCAACGUGCGCGUCGAGCGUCAGGGCGAAGAUGACGUUCCUCUUCUGCAUCUUCACCAACUCACUCUCCAACACAUCUUUGCUCUUGCUCGCCUUGGGCACUUCUUUACCCUUGCUCGCUUUGGGCUCCAUAGCAGCCAGGGGAGGGCAGGAGGCCGAAGGCGGUGAGAGCAUGGAGGCGGCGGAUGGAUGAGAGGGUUCUGUUUCGGGCUCGAGGAGGACGACGACUGCAGUUCCUAGAUUGGAACGGGCGAGAGGUAAAUGAGCAGCGCCUCUGCGGAUUCCUCUUUUUAUGGGGAAGGCACGAGGCUGCCUCUUUACUGUUCGAUGUGAAGGCGUUUUCGCAGGCUGCUGCUGCUGCGGCCCUUCCGCGCAGGCAUCCCACGUCGCACACUCAAUGCGGAUCGUGGGGAAGCACAACAGACAAGAUAGAUUACAGCGGUUAACCCCUGCCACGCAUUCCCGUGCACUCUUUGGGCCUAGCCCAACAACGCCUUGCACCCGUGUGUGGCCUAGGCCCAGGGGCUCCUGUCGGUGUACUAAAGUUUGGGCCCUUUAGUACCCCUUACUUGUGCACGGGCAGUUGUAGCCCGUGCCCACGGCGAGGCCUGAUAGGGACAACUGGAAGCAAAUACUAAACGACCAAGACGACAUCUGAGCCAGUAAUCAGAGAACAAAAGACAAGUUGAGCCCCCGACAAGAUUCUUGCCGGGAUGGUUUGCGAAGCCCCAGCAAGACCAUCACCCUUGAGGUUGAGAGCUCUGCCACCAUUGACAAUGUCAAGACCAAGAUCCAGGGGCGUCUGCGUGGUGGCAUGCAAAUCUUUGUGAAGACUAAAAGGCGAAGUUCCCAGCAAGAUUCUUGCCGGGAACGUUUGCGCGGCCCCAGUAAGAUUCUUGUCGGGGGCGUCUGUGAGGCCACGGCAAGGCUUAAGGAUCCCACCGCCCUGCCACCGCUCCAGCGCAGUGACGAGCCUGCCAGCCUGGCCCUCCCAAGCCUCGUUAUCCUGAGCACAUGUCGAGAUGGGGUGAGGCGGCGACGGACGGGACGGGCUCUAUUUCCGUCCCCGAUAAAGUUAGGGACACAUAAACGGCGCAUUAAAUGCGUUUUUCCUAAGACGACAUGGAUAAGUAUAAGCACUGUAGCAGCUUUACACCUCUUGUAUGCAUGUACGCCACUGUGGUAGCCCCUUGGUAUAAAAGGAGGCCCAAGGCGAUACAGGAAGGGACUUUUGGACUUUCUGGCCCAGUUUGCACGCGUACAACUAGCCAGAGCUCAAGAACACUCAAUACACUAAAGCAGGACUAGGGUUUUACGCUUCUCAGUGACCCAAACCUGGGUAAAAAUCCCUCGUGUUGACUAUUGGAUCUGCUCAUUGCGCACACUUCUUUCCCUGCCAAACCGUAGAAGGGAUUCCCAUGAUCCCAUAGGUGUUGUUUCCCCGACAAAUGUAUGCGUAGAUUUAUCUUAGAAAAUACUUUAAUAGUAUUUACUUGUUUUUUUAUCUAACGACCUAAAGCAUCGUACUUGUAGGUUUAGGUCAAUUUCAAAUAUGAAGUUGCUUACCACAUACAACAUGUGGUCUUCAUUAGUUUUAUAGUUGUAGUUUUUUUUACACUGACACACUAUUUUGAGACAAUUAGUGUAAACUCAAUAUAAAUUGUUUUGCAUUUUUGAAGAGAGUAGCGUGACACCCCUGGAACCCCACUAAAUUCGCCUCUGCCUAAUUUUCUUUUGCAGCCAAAGGAUUUUGUAGUGGCCUCUAUCUAGUUUAGCAAAGCCCAUGGAUUCUCUUAUUCAUGAAAAUGAAAGGGUAGAACUGUUGCUGGUUGCGGAAGAAAGGAACUUUUUUUUCGGACCGGUCUAGCAAGCGGCCGGCUGCUCGCUAAACUUUGCGAGCGGCCGGCCUAAAAUUGCAAGUUUUGGUCCCCUAAUAAUUUAUAAAUAGCAAUUACCUAGUGUGUGUUUUUGUCAGAUAGUGGAUGUUUUUGUUAGCAUUAAAUGUGUACAGCAAAUGCGUACAGACUAGUCUGUGAAACACAUUUAUUUUCGCUCUUAAAUCUUUAAAAAGUCAUAUCUUUUAAACCACACGUCGAAAUUCAGAUCCGUUUUCACCUUUGGAUUCAUCGCGACGAGAUCUUCGAAACUAGAUCCCGCAUGGGUAUGUUUCGAUGAAUUUUUUAUGCCAACUUUGGUGCUAUAUGGUGCAACUAAAGUACUGCAUUGUGCAAGUUUAGUACUACAUGGUCCAGCUUUUAAAAAAACCAACUUUGAAGCUAUAUGAUCUAACUUCAUAUGAGGUCGCAACCUAUCAACCAUAACAACUUGAUGUGCAACUAGUCUACUACCCUGACAAACUAUCUAGUAGUGGAUUGCAAGCCUUGUCCCUACUUUGGGCCUCCUUCGACCGGUCAAUCGCCGAGCUCCGCACCAUGGUUGUUGUCCUCCUUUGCAAACUCCUCUCUCCGAUGACAUCCUCCGACUCUGGCCCCUCCUCUUCCCCGAGAGCCUGACCGCGCUCAAGUCCAACCUCCUCAACGCGUCCGACAGUACCGCAGCAGACCUGGCGGAACUUGAUGUAAUCAGGGGUGUCUUAUAUUCAGCCACUUUGUGCUUAGUUAGCUAGUAAUGUAGUCUAGUUGCACACACAUUGAUACUUAGUUGGCUUGUAAUGUAGUCUAGUUGCACACACAUUAAUGUUUAGUUGGCUUGUAAUAUAGUCUAGUUGCACACACAUUGAUGUUUAAUUGGCUUGUAAUGUAGUCUAGUUGCACACACAUUGAUGUUUACUUGGCUUGUAAUGUAGUCUACUUACACACACAUUGAUGUUUAGUUGGCUUUAAUGUAGUCUAGUUGCACACACAUUGAUGUUUAGUUGGCUUGUAAUGUCUAGUUGCACAAACAUUGAUGUUUAUGAAGGAAAUAUGCCCUAGAGGCAAUAAUAAAGUUAUUAUUUAUUUCCUUAUAUCAUGAUAAAUGUUUAUUAUUCAUGCUAGAAUUGUAUUAAUCGGAAACAUAAUACAUGUGUGAAUACAUAGACAAACAGAGUGUCACUAGUAUGCCUCUACUUGACUAGCUCGUUGAUCAAAGAUGGUUAUGUUUCCUAACCAUAGACAUGAGUUGUCAUUUGAUUAACGGGAUCACAUCAUUAGGAGAAUGAUGUGAUUGACUUGACCCAUUCCGUUAGCAUAGCACUUGAUCGUUUAGUUUGUUGCUUUUGCUUUCUUCAUGACUUAUACAUGUUCCUAUGACUAUGAGAUUAUGCAACUCCCGUUUAUCGGAGGAACACUUUGUGUGCUACCAAACAUCACAACGUAACUGGGUGAUUAUAAAGGUGCUCUACAGGUGUCUCCAAAGGUACUUGUUGGGUUUGCGUAUUUCGAGAUUAGGAUUUGUCACUCCGAUUGUCGGAGAGGUAUCUUUGGGCCCACUCGGUAAUGCACAUCACUAUAAGCCUUGCAAGCAUUGCAACUAAUGAGUUAGUUGCGGGAUGAUGUGUUACGGAACGAGUAAAGAGACUUGCCGGUAACGAGAUUGAACUAGGUAUUGAGAUACCGAUGAUCGAAUCUCGGGCAAGUAACAUACCGAUGACAAAGGGAACAACGUAUGUUGUUAUGCAGUCUGACUGAUAAAGAUCUUCGUAGAAUAUGUAGGAGCCAAUAUGGGCAUCCAGGUCCCGCUAUUGGUUAUUGACCGGAGAGGUGUCUCGGUCAUGUCUACAUAGUUCUUGAACCCGUAGGGUCCGCACGCUUAACGUUCGUUGACGAUAUAGUACUAUAUGAGUUACGUAUGUUGAUGACCGAAUAUUGUUCGGAGUCCGGGAUGAGAUCACGGACAUGACGAGGAACUCCAGAAUGGCUCGGAGAUAAAGUUUGAUAUAUGGGAUAGUAGUGUUUGAUCUCCGGAAGGGUUCCGGAAUUCACCGGAAGGGGUUCCGGAUGUUUCCCGAAAUGUUUGGGCACGAGAACACUUUAUCUGGGCCAAAGGGGAAAGCCCACGAGGCUUUUGGAAAGUGCAAAAGGAAGUUUUGCGGAGACCAGAGGCUAGACGCCAGGAACCCCGGCGUCUAGGGGGUAAACGCCGGGAACCCUGGCGUCUAGCCCUGGAGUCCGAGAAGGACUCUUGCCUUUCGGGUGAAACCGACUUUGAGGAGGCUUUUACUCCAAGUUUCGACCCCAGGGCUCAACAUAUAAAUAGAGGGGUAGGGCUAGCACCAAAGACACAUCAAGAAACACCAAGCCGUGUGCCGGCAACCCCGUCCCCUCUAGUUUAUCCUCCGUCAUAGUUUUCGUAGUGCUUAGGCGAAGCCCUGCGGAGAUUGUUCUUCACCAACACCGUCACCACGCUGUCGUGCUGCCGGAACUCAUCUACUACUUCGCCCCUCUUGCUGGAUCGAGAAGGCGAGGACGUCACCGAGCCGAACGUGUGCAGAACUCGGAGGUGCCGUGCUUUCUGUACUUGGAUCGGUCGGACGUGAAGACGUACGACUACAUCAACCGCGUUGAUAUAACACUUCCGCGAACGGUCUACGAGGGUACGUAGACAACACUCUCCCCUCUCGUUGCUAUGCAUCACCAUGAUCUUGCGUGUGCGUAGGAAUUUUUUUGAAAUUACUACGUUCCCCAACAGUGGCAUCCGAGCCUAGGUUUUAUGCGUUGAUGUUGUGCACGAGUAGAACACAAGUGAGUUGUGGGCGAUAUAAGUCAUACUGCUUACCAGCAUGUCAUACUUUGGUUCGGCGGUAUUGUUGGAUGAAGCGGCCCGGACCGACAUUACGUGUACACUUACGCGAGACUGGUUCUACCGACGUGCUUUGCACACAGGUGGCUGGCGGGUGUCAGUUUCUCCAACUUUAGUUGAACCAAGUGUGGCUACGCCCGGUCCUUGCGAAGGUUAAAACAACACCAACUUGACAACCUAUCAUUGUGGUUUUGAUGCAUAGGUAAGAACGGUUCUUGCUAAGCCCGUAGCAGCCACGUAAAACUUGCAACAACAAAGUAGAGGACAUCUAACUUGUUUUUGCAGGGCAUGUUGUGAUGUGAUAUGGUCAAGACAUGAUGCUAAAUUUUAUUGUAUGAGAUGAUCAUGUUUUGUAACCGAGUUAUCGGCAACUGGCAGGAGCCAUAUGGUUGUCGCUUUAUUAUAUGCAAUGCAAUUGCGCUGUAAUGCUUUACUUUAUCACUAAGCGGUAGCGAUAGUCAUGGAAGCAUAAGAUUGAUGAGACGACAACGAUGCUACGAUGGUGAUCAAGGUGUCGCGCCGGUGACAAUGGUGAUCAUGACGGUGCUUUGGAGAUGGAGAUCACAAGCACAAGAUGAUGAUGGCCAUAUCAUAUCACUUAUAUUGAUUGCAUGUGAUGUUUAUAUUUUAUGCAUCUUAUCUUGUUUUGAUUGACGGUAGCAUUAUAAGAUGAUCUCUCACUAAAUUUCAAGAUAAAAGUGUUCUCCAUGAGUAUGCACCAUUGCCAAAGUUCGUCGUGCCCAGACACCACAUGAUGAUCGGGUGUGAUAAGCUCUACGUCCAUCUACAACGGGUGCAAGCCAGUUUUGCACACGCAGAAUACUCAAGUUAAACUUGACGAGCCUAGCAUAUGCAGAUAUGGCCUCGGAACACUGAGACCGAAAGGUCGAGCGUGAAUCAUAUAGUAGAUAUGAUCAACAUAAUGAUGUUCACCAUUGAAAGCUACUCCAUUUCACGUGAUGAUCGGUUAUGGUUUAGUUGAUUUGGAUCACGUGAUCACUUAGAGGAUUAGAGGGAUGUCUAUCUAAGUGGGAGUUCUUAAGUAAUAUGAUUAAUUGAACUUUAAUUUAUCAUGAACUUAGUCCUGGUAGUAUUAGCAUAUCUAUGUUGUAGAUCAAUAGCUCGCGAUGUUGCUCCCAGUUUAUUGUGUUCCUAGAGAAAAAUUAUGUUGAAAAAUGUUAGUAGCAAUGAUGCGGAUUGGAUCCGUGAUCUGAGGAUUAUCCUCAUUGCUGCACAGAAGAAUUAUGUCUUUGAUGCACCGCUAGGUGACAGACCUAUUGCAGGAGUAGAGGCAGACGUUAUGAAUGUUUGGCUAUCUCAAUAUGAUGACUACUUGAUAGUUUAGUGCACCAUGCUUAACGGCUUAGAAUCGGGACUUCAAAGACGUUUUUGAACGUCAUGGAACAUAUGAGAUGUUCCAGGAGUUGAAGUUAAUAUUUCAAGCAAAUACCUGAGUUGAGGGAUAUGAAGUCUCCAACAAGUUCUAUAGCUAAAAGAUGGAGGAAAAUAGCUCAAGCAGUCAGCAUGUGCUCAGAUUGUCUGGAUACUACAAUCGCUUGAAUCAAGUGGGAGUUAAUCUUUCAGAUAAAAUAGUGAUUGACAGAAUUCUCUAGUCACCAGCACCAAGUUAGUAGAACUUCGUGAUGAACUAUAGUAUGCAAGGGAUAACGGAAACGAUUCCCAAGCUCUUCGUAAUGCUGAAAUCAACGAAGGUAGAAGUCAAGAAAAACAUCAAGUGUUGAUGGUAGACAAGACCACUAGUUUUAAGAAAAGGGCAAAGGGAAGAAAGGAACUUCAAGAAGAACGGCAAGCAAGUUGUUGCUCAAGUGAAGAAGCCCAAGUCUGGUCCUAAGCCUGAGACUAAGUGCUUCUACUGCAAAGGGACUGGUCACUGGAAGCGGAACUGCCCCAAGUAUUUGGCGGAUAAGAAGGAUGGCAAAGUGAACAAAGGUAUAUUUGAUAUACAGAUUAUUGAUGUGUAUUUUACUAGUGUUGGUAGCAACCCCUCGGUAUUUUAUACUGGUUCAGUUGCUAAGAGUAGUAACUUGAAACAAGAGUUGCAGAAUGAAUAGAGACUAGUUAAGGGUGAAGUGACGAUGUGUGUUGGAAGUGGUUCCAAGAUUGAUAUGAUCAUCAUCGCACACUCCCUAUACUUUUGGGAUUAGCGUUGAACCUAAAUAAGUGUUAUUUGGUGUUUGCGUUGAGCAUGAAUAUGAUUUGAUCAUGUUUAUUGCAAUACAGUUAUUCAUUUAAGUAAGAGAAUAAAUUGUUGUUCUGUUUACAUGAAUAAAACCUUAUAUGGUUACACACCCAAUGAAAAUGGUUCGUUGGAUCUCGAUCGUAGUGAUACACAUAUUCAUAAUAUUGAAACCAAAAGAUGCAAAAUUAAUAAAUGAUAGUGCAACUUAUUUGUGGCACUACCGUUUAGGUCAUAUUGGUGUAAAGCGCAUGAAGAAACUCCAUGCUGAUGGACUUUUGGAAUCACUUGAUUAUGAAUCACUUGAUGCUUGCGAACCAUGCCUCAUGGGCAAGAUGACUAAGACUUCGUUCUCCGGAACAAUGGAGCGAGCAACUGACAUAUUGGAAAUAAUACAUACUGAUGUAUGCAGUCUGAUGAGUGUUGAGGCUCGUGGUGGGUAUCAUUAUUUUCUGACCUUCACAAAUGAUUUGAGCAGAUAUGGGUAUAUCUACUUGAUGAAACAUAAGUCUGAAACAUUUGAAAAGUUCAAAGAACUUCAGAGUGAAGUGGAAAAUCAUCGUGACAAGAAAAUAAAGUUCCUACGAUCUGAUCACAGAGACAAAUAUUUGAGUUACGAGUUUGGUCUUCAAUUAAAACAAUGCGGAAUAGUUUCAACAAAAUCAUGCCACCUGGAACACCACAGCAUAAUGGUGUGUCUGAACAUCAUAACUGUACUAUUAUUGGAUAUAGUGCAAUCUACGAUGUUUCUUACUGAUUAAUCACUAUAGUUUUGGGGUUAUGCAUUAGAGACAGCUGCAUUCACGUUAAAAAUGGCACCAUCUAAAUCCGUUGAGGCGACACCGUAUGAACUGUGGUUUGGCAAGAAACCAAAGUUGUCGUUUCUUAAAGCCUGAGGUUGCAAUGCUUAUGUGAAAAAGUUUCAACCUGAUAAGCUCAAACCAAUAUCAGAGAAGUGCGUCUUCAUAGGAUACCCAAAAGAAAAUGUUGGGUAUACCUUCUAUCACAGAUCCGAAGGCAAGAUAUUCAUUGCUGAGAAUGGAUCCUUUGUAGAGAAGGAGUUUCUCUCGAAAGAAGUGAGUGGGAGGAAAGUAAAACUUGAUGAGGUGAUUGUACCUGCUCCCUUAUUGGAAAGUAGUUCAUCACAGAAAUCUGUUUCUGUGACUCCUACAACAAUUAGUGAGGAAGCUAAUGAUGAUGAUCAUAUAACUUCAGAUCAAGUUACUACCGAACCUCGUAGGUAAACCAGAGUGAGAUCCGCACCAGAGUGGUAUGGUAAUCAUGUUCUGGAGGUCAUGUUACUUGACCAUGACGAACCUACGAACUAUGAGGAAGCGAUGAUGAGCCCAGAUUCCGCGAAAUGGCUUGAGGCCAUGAAAUCUGAGAUGAGAUCCAUGUAUAAGAACAAAGUAUGGACUUUGAUUGACUUGCCCAAAGAUCGGCGAGCCAUUGAGAUUAAAUAGAUCUUCAAGAGGAAGACGGACGCUGAUAGUAGUGUUACUAUCUACAAAGCUAGAAUUGUCGCAAAAGGUUUUCGACAAGUUCAAGGUGUUGACCACGAUGAGAAUUUCUCACUCGUAUCUAUGCUGAAGUCUGUCCGAAUCAUGUUAGCUCUUGCCGCAUUUUAUGAAAUCUGACAAAUGGAUAAACAAAAAUGCAUUCCUUAAUAGGAUUUAUUAAAGAAGAGUUGUACAUGAUGCAACCAGAAGGUUUUGUCGAUCCUAAAGGUACUAACAAAAUAUGCAAGCUCCAGCGAUCCAUCUAUGGACUGGUGCAAGCAUCUCGGAGUUGGAAUAUACGCUUUGAUAAGUUGAUCAAAACAUAUAGUUUUAUACAGACUUGCGGUGAAGCCUGUAUUUACAAGAAAGUGAGUGGGAGCACUACAGCAUUUCUGAUAAGUAUAUGUGAAUGACAUAUUGUUGAUCGGAGAUAAUGUAGAAUUAUUCUGCAAAGCAUAAAGGAAUGUUUGAAAGGGUUUUUUUCAAAUAAAGACCUCGGUGAAGCUGCUUACAUAUUGAGCAUCAAGAUCUAUAGAGAUAUACAAGACGCUUGAUAAGUUUUUCGAUGAGUACAUACCUUGACAAGAUUUUGAAGUAGUUCAAAAUGAAACAGUCAAAGAAGGAGUUCUUGCCUGUGUUACAAGGUGUGAAGUUGAGUAAGACUCAAAACCCGACCACGGUAGAAGAUAGAGAGAGAAUGAAAGUCAUUCCCUAUGCCUCAGCCAUAGGUUCUAUAAAGUAUGCCAUGUAGUGUACCAGACCUAUUGUAUACCCUGCCCUGUGUUUGGCAAGGGAGUACAAUAGUGAUCUAGGAGUAGAUUACUGGACAUUGGUCAAAAUUAUCCUUAGUGAAAUAAGGAUAUGUUUCUCGAUUAUGGAGGUGACAAAAGGUUCGUCGUAAAGGGUUACGUCGAUGCAAGUUUUGACACUGAUCCAGAUGACUCAAAGUCUCAAUCUAGAUACAUAUUGAAAGUGGGAGCAAUUAGCUAGAGUAGCUCCGUGCAGAGCAUUGUUGACAUAGAAAUUUGCAAAAUACAUACGGAUCUGAAUGUGGCAAACCCGUUGAUUAAACUUCCCUCACAAGCAAAACAUGAUCACACCUUAGAACUCUUUGGGUAUUAAUCACAUAGCGAUGUGAACUAGAUUAUUGACUCUAGUAAACCCUUUGGGUGUUGGUCACAUGACGAUGUGAACUAUGGGUGUUAAUCACAUGGUGAUGUGAACUAUUGAUGUUAAAUCACAUGGCGAUGUGAACCAUUGAUGUUAAAUCACAUGGCGAUGUGAACUAGAUUAUUGACUCUAGUGCAAGUGGGAGACUGAAGGAAAUAUGCCCUAGAGGCAAUAAUAAGGUUAUUAUUUAUUUCCUUAUAUCAUGAUAAAUGUUUAUUAUUCAUGCUCGAAUUGUAUUAACCGGAAACAUAAUACAUGUGUGAAUACAUAGACAAACAGAGUGUCACUAGUAUGCCUCUACUUGACUAGCUCAUUGAUCAAAGAUGGUAAUAUUUCCUAACCAUAGACAUGAGUUGCCAUUUGAUUAAUGAGAUCACAUCAUUAGGAGAAUGAUGUGAUUGACUUGACCCAUUCCGUUAGCAUAGCACUUGAUCAUUUAGUUUGUUGCUAUUGCUUUCUUCAUGACUUAUACAUGUUCCUAUGACUAUGAGAUUAUGCAACUCCCGUUUACCGGAGGAACACUUUGUGUGCUACCAAACGUCACAACGUAACUGGGUGAUUAUAAAGGUGCUCUACAGGUGUCCCUGAAGGUACUUGUUGGGUUUGCGUAUUUCGAGAUUAGGAUUUGUCACUUCGAUUGUCGGAGAGGUAUCUCUGGGCCCACUUGGUAAUGCACAUCACUAUAAGCCUUGCAAGCAUUGCAACUAAUGAGUUAGUUGCGGGAUGAUGUGUUAUGAAACGAGUAAAGAGACUUGCCGGUAACGAGAUUGAACUAGGUAUUGAGAUACCGGCGAUCGAAUCUCGGGCAAGUAACAUACCGAUGACAAAGGGAACAACGUAUGUUGUUAUGCGGUCUGACUGAUAAAGAUCUUCAUAGAAUAUGUAGGAGCCAAUAUGGGCAUCCAGGUCCCGCUAUUGUUUAUUGACCAGAGAGGUGUCUCGGUCAUGUCUACGUAGUUUUCGAACCCGUAGGGUCCGCACGCUUAACGUUCGUUGACGAUAUAGUACUAUAUGAGUUAUGUAUGUUGAUGACCGAAUGUUGUUCGGAGUCCGGGAUGAGAUCACGGACAUGACGAGGAACUCCGGAAUGUUCCGGAAAUAAAGUUUGAUAUAUGGGAUAGUAGUGUUUGAUCUCCGGAAGGGUUCCGAAAUUCACCAGAAGGGGUUCCGGAUGUUUCCCGAAAUGUUUGGGCACGAGAACACUUUAUCUGGGCCAAAGGGGAAAGCCCACGAGGCUUUUGGAAAGUGCAAAAGGAAGUUUUGCAGAGACCAGAGGCUAGAUGCCAGGAACCCUGGCGUCUGGGGGUAGACGCCGGGAACCCUGGCGUCUAGCCCUGGAGUCCGAGAAGGACUCUUGUCUUUCGAGUGAAACCGACUUUGAGGAGGCUUUUACUCCAAGUUUCGACCCCAGGGCUCAACAUAUAAAUAGAGAGGUAGGGCUAGCAUCAAAGACACAUUAAGAAACACCAAGCCGUGUGCCGGCAACCCCGUCCCCUCUAGUUUAUCCUCCGUCAUAGUUUUCGUAGUGCUUAGGCGAAGCCCUGCGGAGAUUGUUCUUCACCAACACCGUCACCACGCCGUCGUGCUGCCGGAACUCAUCUACUACUUCGCCCAUCUUGCUAGAUCGAGAAGGCGAGGACGUCCCCGAGCCGAACGUGUGCAGAACUCGGAGGUGUCGUGCUUUCGGUACUUGGAUCGGUCGGACGUGAAGACGUACGACUACAUCAACCGCGUUGAUAUAACGCUUCCGCGAACGGUCUACGAGGGUACGUAGACAACACUCUCCCUCUCGUUGCUAUGCAUCACGAUGAUCUUGCGUGUGCGUAGGAUUUUUUUUGAAAUUACUACGUUCCCCAACAGUUUAGUUGGCAGGAAGACUAGUUGCACACACAUAUGCUGAGUUGGCUUGUAAUGUAGUCUAGUUGAACACACAUUGAUAUUUAGUUGGCUUGUAAUGUAGUCUACUUCCACACACAUUGAUAUUUAGUUGGCAAAAGGACUAGUUGCACAGACAUAUGCUCAGUUAGCUUGUAAUUUAGUCAGUUACACACAUACUGAUGUUUAGUUGGCAGGACGCUAGUUGCACACACAUAUGCGCAAUUAACGCGGCAAUGUAGUCUAGUUGCACACACAUUGAUGUUUAGUUGGCAGGACUAUUAACACACACAUAAGCUUAGUUGGCGCGGUAAUAUAGUAUAGUUGCACACAUAUUGAUGUUUAGUUGACAGAAGAACUAUUGGCAACUAGUAAACGUAACAAUCCACACACAGACAUGAGCCAACUAGUAAACCUAACAAUCCACACACACGAGAGAAAGAAACACACACAAGAGAGGAAAAAGUGUCUGCCAUGAACGGGAUGGUAGCGACGACCACUACUCAAGGUCGAUGCAUCCAUGCGCUGGGAGGUUGCCACAGCUUGCAGGCUCCGAUGACGGCUUAAGCACGCCGGAGGCCGCGGGGUGCUCGCGAACGGUGAGUUAGGGAGGCAAUAGGGAAUACGACGGCCCCGGCGAGAUGACGGAGCAGUGCGUCAACGCCGGUGUUCCGUGCUCCUUUGCUCCUCCAUGCUUCAUCGCCAGCUCCAGAAGCCAACUAAGUACAAGAUCUCGUGCAACCGCACAAACCUGACUAGCCAACUAGUUUAGUCAAGUAGACCAAUGCGCAUAGUGUUUUGUGUAAAAACAACAGAAUCAAGUCGUUAGACCACAUGAACAACACCCAAUCUCGUGAAAAAUUCCCAACAAGCACUCACCACAAAAAGCGCAACCUCAUCCCCUGCGGCGAACUGCACAAGAACUCACAGCCCCCUAAUCUAAGCUCCCUGCGUGCAUCCAGUGUUGCCUAGGGGUACAACGCGACCACACACGCUGAUGCAUCGUAAAAAAAAUGCAGGCAACACUAUGCCGUGCUGACAGAGAAGCACCAAAAAUCGACAGAGAGGCUGUCAAAUCAGGUACCGGAAUGCAUGCACAUCAAAUCGAAUUGAUGCGGCCAUCGCGCGUGGUGUGGAACAGCGGAAGGGCGGCUACUUCGGGACGCUGGGUGCGGCGGACGGGCACUUGGCUGAGGCCGCCGCGGCCGGGUUUACUCGCCGCCAUGGAUGGUCACGGCAGCAUCGGCCUGUUGCUGAAGGAGGCUGUGACCUGCAGAUGGAUGGCACAACGGCGCUUGUGCAAGCAAAAGAGGAGGAGGCGGCCAGCAACAUACGGGGCAUACGGAAGCAGGGGAGCAGGCCCGCCGGGCGCGGCUCGCGUCGCCAGGAGGACGGGACCGGCCUGACGCAUGCUGGGCACGGCGUACGUCAUCGGAAGGCGGCCGGAGGGGCGCGGCAGCGGGCGCGUAGCCGGCAGCAGGAGCGGAGCGGCGGCUGCGUUGCCGGGAGGAGGAGCGCGGCGGAGGGGCGUUGCCCGAAAGAGGAACGGCGUGGCGGCCGGCGUCGCAGGAGGAGGCAAGGCGGCAGUGGGAGGGUAGUUGAGUGGAUAAGGAACACGACGUGUCUACCCCGGGUGAGCGAUCCGCAAAACUCUCCCGACCAGAUAACGCCUGGCACUGCGGGCCGUACGAUACACAUGUACCGAGCGGUCACCGCGCGGCCGCUCAGUUCGCCCAGAUACCGCGCGUGCAUUUUUUAGAUUUUAGGUUUUUUUUCUGAUAAACUUCUUCUUCUGUAUUCAUUCAUAAGUAAAAUAGCAUCGUUUAUAAGUAAAGGGAUAACCUCAUUAGGGAAAGCUCAGCUCACGUCUAAAUCUGGGGAUCAUAAUAUCAAAGUCCAGAUCAUGCAUGUCAUAUGGGUCCAAAAGGACAGCCACAGGAGCUCCAUGUGGCACGUGAGAUCCAACUUAGAAAAUCACCAGUGCCGGACAAAGGCCUGCCGGCCCAUCGCGCUGAAAGCCGAAAGCCCACGCCGGCCCCACACGUCAGUGAACCGUCCAGCCCGUCGCAGAAGGCGAGCACGACGUCUCGGGCUCACGGCCACUCGCCGGCCAGCGCCAGUGUGACCGAACCGCUCUGGAAACCCGGGGGAGGAGCGGCAAAACAUACGCCGCAGCACCCCCGCAAUCCCACAGAAAUUACGGACGCGUCCCCGGGCGAGUGGGAGGAGUAGUGGUGGAGGGUCCGAGGAGCGAGACUGGCCAGUGGUCUAUCUCUCUGUUUUUGCGGGCGGGUCCUUGUGUCUGUCUCUCUGUCCGGCCCGGACGAGAUGCUCCCGUGGGCGACGGCGGCGGAGGCCGAGGCGGCGCUGGGGCGCGCCAUGACGGCCGCGGAGGCGCUCUGGUUCCGGUGGACCGCGGAGGCGUCCGACUACUACCUCUACUGCCUCAACAUCCUCUUCCUCCUCGUCGUCUUCACGCUCGCGCCGCUCCCCGUCGCGCUCCUCGAGCUCCGCGCGCCGCGGGCCGUCGGGCCGUACAAGCUGCAGCCCCGGGUGCGGCUCUCGCGGGCCGAGUUCAUCAAGUGCUACGGCGACGUCAUGCGCAUCUUCUUCCUCGUCAUCGGCCCGCUCCAGCUCGUCUCCUACCCCGCCGUCAAGGUCCGCUUCUCCCCCCGACCCUCGUUUUUCCUUUUCUCUUGGCGGAUGAUGAAUCUGCGCAAUGCGGCCGGAGAUUUGGGGUUCCAUGGAAAAAGAUCGAAUGUCACAGCGCUGACAGGCAUGGAAUUCAGAUUCGCAUGCGGUUGUCAUUUUGAUCUGUAUGUUCGGAGGAGUACUAGAUUUGAGGAAUUUAUGGCCUGGGUUCUGCUCCAAAACCCUGUACAAGUGAUCCACACUUCAAAGUUUCCCCCAGUUUUCUCCACGCAGUCUUGGCAAAAACAAAAGACUGUUGUUGUAUCUAAGACCAAACAAUACAGUAGUAAAUUUAUCCUAUUUGAUUGAUCACUGCAGAUGGUGGGAAUCCACACCGGACUGCCUCUGCCGUCUCUGGGGGAGAUGGCGGCACAGCUGCUGGUCUACUUCCUGGUUGAGGACUACCUCAACUACUGGAUCCACCGGCUGCUGCACGGUGAGUGGGGCUAUGAGAAGAUCCACCGGAUCCACCAUGAGUACACCGCGCCCAUUGGCUUUGCCGCGCCAUACGCACAUUGGGCAGAGGUGCUCAUACUUGGCAUCCCCUCCUUCGCUGGGCCGGCCAUUGCACCAGGCCACAUGAUAACAUUCUGGCUCUGGAUUAUACUUCGUCAGAUGGAAGCCAUUGAUACACACAGCGGGUAAGGAAUUUCCGUAGUUUCUCUCUUGAGAGAUUAUGUUUUGCUGCUAGUGAUGGAUGGAUUUAUAAUAAAUGGAGUUGCUGGAUGAUUGCGAUGUUAGCUGCAUGACACCAAAUAUGACUAAAAUCGGUACCAAUGAAUAUUAGUGGGGGAGCUGCAUGGGUCUAUGUCUGAAUUAAUUGAGUUAUUUCUUAAAAAAAGUCGUAGCUGGCUGCUUACUUGAAGGUUUUCUUAGGAAUACAUUUCUUUGUUCAUCAACAUCUAUAUGAAUGGAAGAACCUGGUAAUGAAGAAGCUAAAGCUAUGAUCUCUUUUGUAGGACAAAAUUAACAAGCAAACUCUACAUUUAUUCGGUUUUUCCCCAGCUGUGUUUCAAUUCAUGUGACUUUAUUAUUUUGGCCAAAGUAUCUUAUGUUUCUUAAUUAUAAUUUCACUCUAUUGUGAAAAAGAUACAACCUACAAGUCUUGAAGAAAUAGUAAUGUGUGAACAGCUAAGUUACAAGAUGCCACAUCUAAUCCAUUUUUUAGGAACAGUUGUUGCUAUGACCAGUGACACUGUCCAUGACUACUCCACUGAACUUUAUCUAUUCAUUUUGCAGUUUUGAUUUCCCAUUCAGCCUGACAAAGUAUAUUCCAUUCUAUGGAGGAGCAGAAUACCAUGAUUAUCAUCACUACGUUGGAGGCCAAAGCCAGAGCAAUUUUGCUUCCGUUUUCACGUACUGUGAUUACCUAUAUGGGACCGACAGAGUAAGUUUUCCCCUUCAUUGCACAAAGGCACUAUUCAAAAUCUCAGGAAGCGCAAGAUUUCUAAUUUGAGUAUAUUGUUCUUUCAGGGUUACAGAUUCCACAAGGCUUACUUAGCAAAGGUAGUUUGUUUUAACUGUUUAUAUCUUCUUCUGUCGUUACAUAUACUUUACCUAAGAAAUAGUAUCGUGCAUUUUUUUUUUGCCAUCUGUGAAUUGGCUGUUAAGGUGACUAUAUAUAUGGAGCUAAUUUUAUUGACUUUUCUUGUCCCUGCAUGAAAUAGUUGAAGGAUCUGGCACCAAGCGACGGCAAGAAAGAAGGUGCUGACGGAUUCGCUUAUGCAAAGUUGGAUUAGAUGGUCUUAUAGAGUGCAUCCUCAGCGCCUCCCUGAUGAUCUUGUUCAGUAAUGGCAUUGUGAAAAUAGUUGUGUUGAGCUGGACAUGUGUAGUUCUUGUUAUGUGAUUUUUUGUGUUUCUUGCAAGUGUGGUGAACGUCCCUGAACUUGUUAUGCUGACCAAUAAUAUUUACCAGAUAACCUUUAAGCAGCUUGCUAUCUGCUAUAUGUCCGUGGAUUGGCUUUCAAUAAGAAAAGUAUGAUUAAGCUUGUGCACUUGAUGGUCAUACUGAAUAUUUAUCAUCUGUCUAUGAGGAAAAAAAUGUACAUCCAUUUCAGUUCACACGCAAGCUCCAGUUAUAAGAUUGUACAGUAUCAAUUGCAACGUUUUAAACUUUGGGAGGAUAGCAAAAUAGGACAUACUACCAAAUUUGACAAUUGCCUCAAGAAAAUGUGAAAUAAUACUGAAAACACAGUUUAGACCAUGAAACUUGUAAGCAUUAAUAUAAGGCGCUCCAUUCAUAUAGAUCCACUCUCAACAGAAUGAUCCAGUUAAAAUAGCUGAAAACACAAUUUACAGAUAAACACUUGGUAUUCACUAAUCCAUGAAAAUAAUUAUUAUUCAAAACACAGGGAGCAAGGGAGUCUGAUCUGAAAAUACCCUAGAAGCCAUUCAAUAACCACAAGACUAACAAGUUGCAGAAACAACUGGAAUACUUAAUCCCUUAGACAUUCAAAAACACGACGCACGUCAAAAUGAUGAUUCACAACACGAUCGAUCAAAAGGACUGAAAGAGCUCAUGGUAGUCGUUCAG